AUUGAACGCUGGCGGCAUGCUUUACACAUGCAAGUCGAACGGCAGCGCGGGCUUCGGCCUGGCGGCGAGUGGCGAACGGGUGAGUAAUGCAUCGGAACGUGCCCAGUAGUGGGGGAUAGCCCGGCGAAAGCCGGAUUAAUACCGCAUACGACCUGAGGGUGAAAGCGGGGGACCGAAAGGCCUCGCGCUAUUGUAGCGGCCGAUGUCGGAUUAGCUAGUUGGUGGGGUAAAGGCUUACCAAGGCGACGAUCCGUAGCUGGUCUGAGAGGACGACCAGCCACACGGGGACUGAGACACGGCCCAGACUCCUACGGGAGGCAGCAGUGGGGAAUGUUGGACAAUGGGGGCAACCCUGAUCCAGCCAUGCCGCGUGCGGGAAGAAGGCCUUCGGGUUGUAAACCGCUUUUGUUCGGGAAGAAAUCCUCUGGGCUAAUACCCCGGGGGGAUGACGGUACCGGAAGAAUAAGCACCGGCUAACUACGUG
rnacentral:rRNA from 1 species